CUUCCAUAAAAGAAAAAUGAUUCAAGUCAUUUAAGACAUAGAUAAAGAAAUGAAUUAGAACUGCAUUAAUUAUUCUCUAUAAUUUCGUUUUGAAUUAUAUGGACACUUUUUAUAUACAUACAAAAAUGGAUCUAUUUCAGUGAAACUAAUGCUGCUGAAACUAAGUAUUAUUCAGUACAUCUACAAGUAAGAUUUCAAACAAUAUACAAAAUUUAGAACAUUUGCUAUCUUUGUUGUGAUUCAAUUACGGAACUUUUUUGCAAAUUACUUUUUAAGGUUGCAAAGUGAUAACCCAAUAGCAGCUGAAAGUUAUAAAAGAGACAUAGCUUUAGGUGGAGGUGACCUAUGACUGUUAAAAAAUAUGUUUAUAUAGUGCUAUAUUUUAUUCCUAUUUUGAGUGUGAUGAUGAUGAUGAUUUUUUUAUCAAGGAUAAUUGUAUGUAAAUGACAAAUAAAAGUUCUAUAUGUAUUUCCAAUUUUA